rnacentral:rRNA from 1 species
GAGUUUGAUCAUGGCUCAGGAUGAACGCUAGCGGCAGGCUUAACACAUGCAAGUCGAGCGAGAAACUAUCAACUGAUUCUUCGGAAGAAGGCGAGAGUGGAAAGCGGCGGACGGGUGAGUAACGCGUAGGCAACCUGCCCCUUGCAGAGGGAUAGCCACUGGAAACGGUGAUUAAAACCUCAUAAUACUCUUUAUACACAUGUAUAGAGAGCCAAAGAUUUAUCGGCAAGGGAUGGGCCUGCGUCUGAUUAGCUAGUUGGUGAGGUAACGGCUCACCAAGGCGACGAUCAGUAGCCGACCUGAGAGGGUGAUCGGCCACAUUGGAACUGAGACACGGUCCAAACUCCUACGGGAGGCAGCAGUGGGGAAUAUUGCACAAUGGGCGAAAGCCUGAUGCAGCAACGCCGCGUGAAGGAAGAAGGUCUUCGGAUCGUAAACUUCUGUCCUAGGGGAAGAAGAACUGACGGUACCC